UUUCAAAGAGUUCUGCUGAAGAACUGGUUCCCUUUUUUGUAGAACACAAACGGUUGAUGGCCAUCAACAAUCCAAUCGUUCCCUUUUCUCCUUCAAAGAAAACUGCUGUAGAUGCUGCACUCUGAUUAUUAUGUUCUGCAAGUCAUUUUCAGGAAAUCUGCAUAAACCUAUAGAGAAAUAAAAGGCAACGGAAAAAAAAUUGUUGUUAAACUGAAUGAAAACUGUGUAUGCAGAUGAUGUAUUUUGAAUACCUUCGGAAAAUCCAAGUAAAAAGGAAUUGCUGCCAGUA